UACGAAGGGGGGCUAGCGUUGCUCGGAAUCACUGGGCGUAAAGCGCACGUAGGCGGCUUUUUAAGUCAGGGGUGAAAUCCUGGAGCUCAACUCCAGAACUGCCUUUGAUACUGAGAAGCUUGAGUCCGGGAGAGGUGAGUGGAACUGCGAGUGUAGAGGUGAAAUGCGCAGAUAUCAGGAGGAACACCAAUGGCGAAGGCAGCUCGCUGGGACGGUACUGACGCUGAGACGCGAAAGCGUGGGGAGCAAACAGG
rnacentral:rRNA from 1 species